rnacentral:lncRNA from 1 species
GUCAACAAUCUCAGCAUGUGGGUCAGCUUUGCUGGUAUUCUGUCAAUUGGGUGACUUUCACCUUUCCACAGGAAAUAGCUGUGCUAUUUUCUAACAUAUUUUUAUUGGCUAUUAUUGAUUUGUUUGGGAAUUUCAUAUCAUGCAUCUGGAUCACACUUUUCAGUCCUCUCAAGUAUACUCCCUAAUUCUUGUAAUGUCCCUCCAAAAAGGAGGCAAAUAAAGAAGGAUGCAGAGGAGAAUGAAGAAGAACGAGAAGAAAGAGGAGGAGGAAGAGGAGGAAGAGGAGGAGGAGGAAAAGAAGAAGGAGAAGAAACGUUUAAUUUGUGUUACUCAUUUACCCGCUGGAGCAUACUCAGACUCCUAGUGUCCAGCCCCUUAGAGAAUACUGUGUCCUUCCUCACCCCCACAUCUGCCAGAAGCCAUCAAUUGUGCAGAGCUACUUCAGCAUCCUUAUCACAGUUUUUAAGAGUUCUUUUCUAUGGCUUUCUGUCUAGGCUGUUGCCGCAGACCCUCUGGGCCCCUUUGUCUGCGUGGAAUGGGUCUCUAGUCGCAGGUGGGCAAAGCGUUGGAUGAAAUGACAGACAGAUGCACACAGGAGAGGUUGUGUAGAAUCUGAAUGUAAUUUGUCAAAUCGAGCAUCA